GACGUAGGGCGCGAGCGUUGUCCGGAUUUAUUGGGCGUAAAGAGCUCGUAGGCGGCUUGUUACGUCGACUGUGAAAACCCGCGGCUCAACUGCGGGCCUGCAGUCGAUACGGGCAGGCUAGAGUUCGGUAGGGGAGACUGGAAUUCCUGGUGUAGCGGUGAAAUGCGCAGAUAUCAGGAGGAACACCGGUGGCGAAGGCGGGGUCUCUGGGCCGAUACUGACGCUGAGGAGCGAAAGCGUGGGGAGCGAACAGG
rnacentral:rRNA from 1 species